CAUCGCGUAUAAAAGCUGCGCUCGCCCGUUUCUCCACCUCAGUCCUCCGCUGUCUGCCAGGAUUGUGGAUGGAAGCUUUAAUAGAGAUGGAAGUCAACAUUGAAAGGUUCACGAUGUUGAUCCCAACUUCUGGAAAUCAUCAGUUGCUUGAUCGGUGUUGGAGAAGUCUGGAGACAUGAAGAAGCUGCAGGAGGUGAAGGAGAUGCCUUCAUGAGGCUCAGAAUGGACUCGGACAUCCAGAAAAGCUUGUCCUGAUGUUGUUGGACCUCGUCUUCGUGCUUUGGACCUGGCUCCGGGUUUCAGAAACCAGAGUCUGCAAAAGGCAGGAUGAAGAUGUGAACGACCUCCUGACCGACUCUUCUCAGCUUCACUGAACCAGUGGAGUCGUGGCUCUUCAUGUUACAGAAGAUUUACACACAAACUGGUUCUGGAUGUGGAGGCCGGUUUGAAGGGCGGCGAUGAGGGCGACUGAGGAGGAGAAAUGACUUCACAUCUCAAACUGCUGUGAAGCUUUUGGCCACCAAGAAGGAAACAAACGACGCUUUGUUUGAACAACACAUGGAAGCUGAAACUGUCAUAUUUACCUCAUGUGUGCACCUUGUGACAAUAAACGCUAAACAUCUAA